rnacentral:rRNA from 1 species
AGGAAUACCCGCUGAACUUAAAGCAUAUCAAUAAGGCGGAAGGAAAAAGCCCCCCUCUCCAAAAAGUUCCCCCCUUGGGGAAAUGGGUUUCCCCCCCGGGUAAAGGGGGUUUAAAACCCCCGGGGGUUUUUCCACCGGGGGGGGGGGGAAAAUUUUAAAAAGUUGGGGUUUUUCGGGGGGGGGCGCGCCGCCCCCCGGGGGGGGGUUGAAAAAAAACCGGGGGGAGAGUUGGGGCAGCCCCCCCUUUUUUUUCGGGCCCGCACCCGUAAAAGGGUCUCCGAACCCAAAACCCAACCCGGGGGGGGUUUGGGUUUAAAAUACCCUCGAAAAGCCCCCCCCAAAAAACUGGGGGGCGAAUUGGGUUAAAAGAUGGGGGUUCCUUGAUUUGCAAAUUAAAUUAUUUUCGGGGUGGGGGGUUUUCAAGAGCAAAAAAAAAAAACCUGUUGAAAGUUUUUUUUUUUUAUUUUUCCAAAAUGAAAAAAAAACCGCGGGGGCAUAAAAAGAGUUUUUUGUCUCUCCGGCGCGUGUUUUGGGUGGCACACACAGGGAGACCCCCAAGAAAAAUGAUAUUUUAUAUUAUUUUUUGUUGUGAACUCAGGAGUAUUCCUCCCCCCCCGCUACGCAAAUAUAGACGU